rnacentral:lncRNA from 1 species
ACGAGUUGCAGAAUCCAAGACGUGUCUAACAUAAAAGAAGCUAACAUAAAUCUAAAUACGACUCGUGUCAUUUGGCGACGAGUCGUGUCUACGAGAAGGUGGUGUAGGUAAGCCACCUAUGAGGACCGACAGACGGUUUUGGAGUAGUUAAUCAACUUGCUCGCGCACCUCUUGCUGCAUUUCGUGUCUCAUUUCUUCACGCAUUUCUUCUCUN